UACGUAGGGUGCAAGCGUUGUCCGGAAUUAUUGGGCGUAAAGAGCUCGUAGGCGGUUUGUCGCGUCUGCCGUGAAAGUCCGGGGCUCAACUCCGGAUCUGCGGUGGGUACGGGCAGACUAGAGUGAUGUAGGGGAGACUGGAAUUCCCGGUGUAGCGGUGAAAUGCGCAGAUAUCGGGAGGAACACCAGUAGCGAAGGCGGCACUCUGGGCCGGUACUGACGCUGAGGAGCGAAAGCGUGGGGAGCGAACAGG
rnacentral:rRNA from 1 species